rnacentral:lncRNA from 1 species
CUCCAUUUGGGUUGGUAGUCCAAUGACGUCUAUAAAAGCGGAGUUAAUUAUUUGAAAGUUUCAUCUAAUUUUUUUCCUUUGUAGCAAACUCGAAGUAGUAAACGGGGUAACCUUCUGAUGAUCCUCUCACCUCCUUUACUUUUUUAAUGUAUGAAAAAUAACUAUAUUUCACUGCUUACUCGAAUAUACUUAUUCCACAAACUUAAAAUUGUUACAUAAAUAGAUUCUCAUUUAUCUUUGUUCUAUAUGUGUCUAUAAAUUAAACUACUUCCCGAUAGUCGCAAGAAUUGUUUGGCCAUGUGAAAACAAUCAAAACAUACUUAGUAGUUGUUGUAGAAAAUAACAGAACAGUUCGCAAGUAAAUAUAUGAUGACUAAACCUUUUCAUCGAUGAAUAUCAUACCGGCAUACUUAGUAGUUAAAACAAACAAUAGAACAAUCUGCUAAUAAAUAUGCAAUGGCUAAACCUUUUCAUCUAUGAAUAUCAUGCCGAGGUUCCAGAGCCAUUUAAUUGUAGGAUUGAUUGAAUUUCAUAUUCUCAUUACUUGCACUUGAAUACAUAGUUUCAUCCUCCUGUUGUGAACUCGCUAUGCUUGUUAUAUGCCAUUGCUGCAAAAGGAUCACAAAAUCGCUAGGGAAUUAUUAAUAAUGCACCUAUGAAGAUUGUAUGCAGAAUAACAAUUACAAACCUUGAUGAUUCAGGUGAGAGGCUACUCAGAAGGUAGAUUGGAUCCAGAAUAACAAUUGCAAACCUUGAUGAUUCAGGUGAGUCACUCAGAAGGUUGCCAUGACUACAUCGGCGUUGCAUAGUUGAAUCGGAAGACUUUGAUUGCCAAGGUAGAUUGGAUCCAGAAUAACAAUUAGAAACCUUUAUGACUCAGGUGAGAAGCCACUCAGAAGGUUGCUUGGGCGUCACUACAUCUGGCUUGGUGACAUUACGUAGUUGAAUUGGAAGACUGAUUUUGUUGGUAGUGUGCUAGCUAGGUAGUAGAUUUGGCUGACUUCAAUUUUUGGGCAUGUGCUGGGUGCGGUUGCAUGUAUGUGUUUUUAUGUGCCGUGUUUGCCUUGGCAAGUCAUGUUUGUAGUCCGUAUACACGUCUUAUUUGCAUGUGUGUCCGAGUUUGAAAAAAAAUGAUGUCCUUAUUUGCUUAGGUUCCUUAUUUAUUUAUUUAUUUAUUUAUUUAGGUUUGACUACUAUUUUUAUCCUAAUUACAAUAUAAUUGUUUUUAUCCUAAUUACACAUGAUGGAACAUGGAUGUGUUGGUCCGUUAUAUGCACGUACACGUUAUAUGAACGUACACGUGACAACACAACUUUUCUCGUUUACGUGUUG